rnacentral:rRNA from 1 species
CACGUAGGGACCAAGCGUUGUCCGGAUUCAUUGGGCGUAAAGGGCUCGUAGGCGGUUUGUCGCGUCGGGAGUGAAAACCUCGGGCUUAACUCGGGGCUUGCUUUCGAUACGGGCAGACUGGAGGUAUGCAGGGGAGAACGGAAUUCCUGGUGUAGCGGUGAAAUGCGUAGAUAUCUGGAGGAACACCGGUGGCGAAGGCGGCAUCCUGGACCAAUAUUGACGCUGAGGAGCGAAAGCCAGGGGAGCAAACGGG